AAGCAAGGGAAGGUCAAAGCUACCGCUCUUAGACUUGCUGGAAAGGACUGAGAUUCUUGAUGGGAAGUCACAUCUAAAGAUAAAAAACACCUGUCUGCAAAUUCUUCGAGGCUUUUUAACAAGGGCCAGGAAUGUUAGCUACAUGAUGUGAUUUGUCCCAUCCUGAGAGCAAUCACCUGGCUUGGGACGCUCCAAUUCCCUUUUUAAGUAACCAUCUGUUGGUGUCACUGAGGGGAGAGAGAGAAGCUGUAGUAGUGGAAAGAACACAGCCUACUGAGUCAAGCAGAUCAGAGGUUUACUCAUGUCUCUACCAGUUUCCAGCUGUUACAACCUGGCUCCAUUUUACAGAUGAAUAAACACAGGUUCAGAGAGGUUAUGUAGCCUGCCCAACGCUGCACAGCCAGGAAGUUGCAGAGCUGAGAUGAAAGAAUCUGAUUCAUCACCAUCAUUAGGCUACAAGACCAUCUUUGAGCAACAAGAAAAAGAGGAGGCCUUCUUUCUGUGAACCCCUGACCCCUUAGAACACCAGCUAAUCCCCCUUUCGGGAAAGAGCCCCUUUAACAGUCUAAUAAUCCCCGGGAAAUGGCAGGUGCUGCGGGCUGUGGGGAUUGGCUGAUAAACACAGUGCUGCUGCCAGUGGGGGCUCAGGGGCCUGGGCUAAUCCCAGUUGCCCCAGGUUAGGGGAGGCUGGGUGAAAGAAGUUACCGAGUGUCUUUAAUCUAGGAGGACUCAGAGAGGAAGCAUCGAGGAUAAAUUAAACCGGCCUGCAAAGUUGUUCUUGGCUCUGUAACACCCGCUGAGGUUCUUGGCGCUAUGGUGCUUGUCGGCUCUUCCAGGCAGAGGCUGGCGGGGGUGAUGCAGGCACUCUGGGCCGGCAGGAGCUGUCAGAGGAAGAAGGGCUUAAUUUUGGGAAUUCAGUCACAUGGAGGGGGUCACAGUGACAGCAGCAAAGCAAGACUGGCUUCCUUGAGCCCUACCAGGUUAAUCACGGACCCCAGGCACCCCUCUACAAGCUGAUUCUGUCUCCUGUGGAGUUCCCAGGUGGUGCCCCCCGCGGCUCAGCCCGGCUGCUUCCCUCCGUCUCCAUCUUCUCUGCCCCUCGGUUGUGGCCUGGUGCUCUCAGCACCUCUUCCCUGAGCCCUGGGCAUGGCUACACCACACUUCUCUCCCUCUUCAGGAGACCCUGCGGCCCUGGGAAUCCAGAGCAUGCAGCCCAGUGGGGCGGGCUCACUCCGCCCCGGGCCUGCUGCCUGGGGCUGGGCUGCUUCAGGCUGAAGCCUGCGCCUCUGGCUGGGCUGUGCUUCCGACCUAGUUCUGGGAACCAAGGGAGGGCCCCCAAAGUGCUGGGCCAGGGCUUCUGUCCUUUGCACUGCUCUGGGAGGCCUUCCUUACACCCCUGCCCUACCCUAGGGCUCCCGAGGGCCCCUGCCCCACUCCAGAGCCUCGUCCCUGCCUGUGACUCACAUUCGGCCUGUCUGUCCCGCCAGCCUGCGCACCCCCAGCACGGGGCCCAGGGCCAGGGCAGCUCUGUGUGCUGGUUAGCAGCCUGGUGUCCACACCCCAGCGAAGGGGCUGGGGUAGAACCCUCUCCCCAGAGACUCCCCCAGCCCAGCCAGCAGCUUUCCCUCCUUGGAUCCCUAAUUCAUGCUGCCCCCGAAACUCCUGUUAAAAUGAUCUAAAAUGACAUUGCAAGGGAUUUUGGAAGAAAGAUGUCACCCCAACGGUGAGUAGUUA
rnacentral:lncRNA from 1 species